GCACGUCACUGGACGGCACUGCAGAAGCAGGCGAGUUCGCGAGUGUAUCGAUUUUGCGAUCGUGUCUCUCGCGACUAGUGCGUCCGUUUCCUUUAGUUUUUAGUGGCCGUGCUCGUCGUACAUGGAUGAAAUCGUGAAUGGGAUUACCCGCUAGGUUAAUUGCACCGUACAUCCGUUGACUCGCAACGCCUCGUCACCCAUCAGCAUGACCAAGGAUAGAUUAGCAGCUUUAGUCGCGGCCCAGUCGGACGACGAUGACGUGGCGGACGAGGUGUCCGUCAACGUCGGCGGGCCGGAUGACUUCAUGACGGAGUUUUUUGCGGAGGUGGAGGAGAUACGUGAAAUGAUAGAUAGAAUCCAGACGAAUGUCGAGGAUGUCAAGAAGAAACACAGCGCCAUUUUAUCGGCGCCACAAACGGACGAGAAGGUCAAGAUGGAGUUGGAAGACUUGAUGUCCGACAUCAAGAAAACUGCUAACAAAGUCAGGGCUAAGUUAAAAGUGAUAGAACAGAAUAUAGAGCAGGAAGAGCACACGAACAAAUCGUCGGCGGAUCUGAGGAUACGCAAGACUCAACAUUCAACAUUGUCUAGGAAGUUCGUAGAGGUGAUGUCGGAAUACAAUCGAACACAAACCGAUUAUAGAGAACGGUGUAAGGGAAGAAUACAACGACAGCUUGAAAUCACGGGGAGGACGACCACUAACGAUGAACUCGAAGAAAUGUUGGAACAAGGAAAUCCAGCAGUCUUCACGCAAGGGAUCAUCAUGGAAACGCAACAAGCGAAACAAACCCUUGCGGAUAUCGAGGCACGUCAUGCUGAUAUUAUAAAACUCGAAAAUUCGAUCAGGGAAUUGCAUGACAUGUUUAUGGACAUGGCUAUGCUGGUAGAAAGUCAGGGUGAGAUGAUAGAUCGUAUAGAAUAUCACGUGGAACAUGCGGUCGAUUAUGUCCAAACGGCCACGCAGGACACCAAAAAAGCACUCAAGUAUCAAAGCAAAGCUCGACGGUACAGUCAAUAAGAAGAUCAUGAUUAUGAUCUGCCUCGCCAUACUCUGCGUCGUCCUGGCAACUACCAUCGGUGGAUACUUCGGCCUGUGAACACCAGAAGCAGGAAGGUACGAAGGAGACAAAGGCGAACGUCCGGCACUGUAUAUCUAAGUUGACAAAACGCGCCGGCAGCAGUCAUACUUCAUGCAUAUCGCCCCGACAACAAACGAACACACACAAGGCAGACCAUCAAGAAAGCAAUUUCAAGUUCUGGUCAUCGCUAAAAAAGCUCUCUCAUCUUAUCCAAAAACACGAGUUCUUCGUUCGAGUCGACGUUCGGUAAAUAGAGGGUGAAUGAAUCGGAAGAAAAAGAAGAGAGGAGGAAGAAAGGUAGGAAAAAAGGGAAAGAUGCGCAGUUAUUUUGAAGAGGGUCGUCGCCAUCGUCACUAUCAUCGCUGCUACCACACAUCACCAUCAACACAAGCAUACCUUUUUACGUCAAGCUUCGAACUAGUUGCAUUCUAUCUAAGAGAACAAAAAAAAAUCGCCUGUUUUCUAUUAUAGAGUUCUUAGAGAAAGAAUGACGAGAGAGAGAGAGAGAGAGAGAGAGAGAGAGAGAGAGAGAGAGAGAGAGAGAGAGAGAGAGAGAGAGAGAAAGUUCAACAUACUUAUCCUGCGACGAACGGCGAAAACAUAAUGUUGUAUUGCGAUCUGUAUUAUCUCAUCUCGAGGAAGAGAAGCUAAAAAGAGAUGGACAAAAUUUAAAAAGAUUCCGGCGAAAUUUAUUUAAGAGAGAGAGAGAGGAAAAGAAAGGGUGGUUAAGGGAAACGUGGAGGGGCGGUAUAUUGAUGAGAGUUAAAAAAUGGGGAAAAGUUUUAACAUUCGUUUCUCGGCGCUCCUACGAGUUUCUAGAUCGAAAUAUCGUUUGUAGAUCAUCGUAGGAGCGACGGAUUGUAAGGCUAGUCAAUCAUAGGAUUUUAUCGAAAAAAAUAAAGAAUAAAGAAAUCUACCGAGCCCCGACACCCAAUGGAGUUUUUCUGUAACGCGAAAUACGUUCUGCUAUUUUCGCUACUAAUUGCUAUUGCAGAACAUUUUCUUUUUCAAUAUCCGAAAAAAAAAGAUAAGGAAAAAAGGGAAAAAAUAAUAAAGAAAAGAAAAAGAAAAAAAAAUGUUUUCAAAGGGGCGGUCGCUCGGUCGGUCUAUAAAUUCCGACGCGAAUAUGUUUCAUUAUCUGUGAUUUAAAUAACGAAAAUAGUGAAAUUAAAUCUAAAAAAAAAAAGAAAAAAGAAAAAAAAUAAUGAAAAAAGAGAAAAAACAAAUAAAACAAAACGAAAAAGACAGGACUUGGGAAUUAGUUCUCCGUAGAAGUCACAUUCUGAGUCACAUACGGCAAGAUUUUCUAUUCGUAUUUUCUAGAUUUUUAACUUCUCCCACUUUAAACUUCGACCUGAUUAUCACGUAUCCAUCUCUCACUUUUUGACGUGCACUUCACAUAUCAAAGAAAAUUGAGAAAAAAAAACCGAAUUCUAAUUGAACUUACUAGCGCUUAAUACGUUUCUCUUCUUGUUUUUCUUUUUGUUUGUUUGUAACUUUUUUCUUUUUUUCUUUUUUUUUUUCUUUCUUUCUUUCUUUUUCUUCGACACGUCGACCCUAUCGCGUGUGGUUAAUUGUAAACGAAUUUCCGUGCUGUCGAUAACAGAAAAGAAAGAAAUAGGAAGUCGUUACCUUGCGGAUCUUGAUACAUUAUCGUAUAAAAUACAUAAGAGCCAAUUUAGACGGCGCUCGUAAAUUUUUUGAUUUUUGUUUUAACGUUCCUUGUCGUUUCUUCUCCGUGUUUCAAAGCGACGAUAAUUCGAUGAUUAAGAGACGUCAAGACCAAUAGGUGUUCAGACAAAAAAGGAUACAAUCAAUAUUUCCGAUAUAUUUAAUCGAUUAGCAUGCGUAGUCGGUUAACUUAAAAAAACCUAAAGAAAUAAAUAAAUAAAUAAAUAAAUAAAUAAAUAAACAAAUAAAUAAAUAAAUAAAGGAGAAUAAAAAGAAGGGCGAGAAUAGUGAAUUUUAGAAGAAAGAGAAAGAGAGAGAAAGAGGAUAUAGUCGCGCCCUUAAAAGCACAACGAUUCUAGAAUGUGGCCAAUAUCCUUGCGAACGAAUUUCCAAGUGUGCGAGAUAGUUUUCGAACGAGAAGAGCUAUUAUCUAGAUUAAUUAUAAAUAUUAAAUUAUUAAUUAUGUACUUAAAAGAAAAGAAAAAAAAAAAAAAAGAGGAAAAGAAACAUAUGUGCAUUGUUUCACUCUCUCUCUCUCUCUCUCUUUUUUUUUUCCUUUUUCUUUUCUUUAUCAAAGUCAUAAGAGAUAUUCGUUAGUCGAUUUACUCUAUGCACUAUCGUAAAAAUAACAAAAACAAAUGUUUUAUGUUUGAUCUCAUUUCGUGUUACACAAAACGCCAUUAGGGUAUUGGGACUGUCUGCUAAGGGAUCGAAUGAACGCGAUCGUCCUUCGAGAACGAUGAUUUUUCGCAUUUCCAAAAGUUACUGAUCUGUUCUUCGAAAAAAAAAAAAACAAAAAAAAAACCAAGAAGAAAAAAAACGAUAACAAUAACGAACAAAGAAAAAAACCAAUUGCAACUUUCUUUUUGCAACGCCGUUUUAGAUAACAUCGUUUUGCUGGCUUCUCUCUUCGAAUCAUCUAAUUAUUAUUAUACAUCAUACAUACAUACAUACAUACAUACAUACAUACAUACAUACAUACAUACAUACAUACAUACAUACAUACAUACAUACAACAUACAUACAUACAUACAUACAAUAUACAUACAUACAUGCAUACUUACUUACAUACAUACAUACAUACAUACAUACAUACAUACAUAUAUAUAUAUAUAUAUAUAUAUAUAUAUAUACAUACAUACACACCUGUACGUACUGCAUUUCUCAAACAAACGCUCUCUAAUUCGCAUUUGGAAAAGGGCGCUUGUGUAAUACGGCUAAGACUGCUAUUGUUCGUGUUUUUCGUUUCCUGCGUAGAAGUUUAGAUCGCCAUUGCCGAAUCUCUUUAGCUUUAGUGAAAAAUUAAAAAGAAUGAAAGAAAGAAAGAAAGAAAGAAAGCAAGCUUCUUUUAAUUUUCCUCUCAUUCUUUUUUCUACGGGAAACAAAAAGUAAAUAUACGUAUAUAUAUUAUACAAUACAUAUAUAUAUAUAUAUAUAUAUAUAUAUAUAUAUAUAUAUUAUAUUAUAUUAUAUUAUAUAUAUAUAUUAAAAAUAGUUUACGUUGUUGAAAGUAUAACUAGGAGUAAAUUUUAAUGGAGGGCACCCGAGCCAUGUCGUUCACCAUGAACUCUAUCUUUUAAUUAUCAUUCCGUUUUACAGUUAAGUGCAUGGAUGUUGCGUGCGUUACCAUCGCGUACACGGCUAAAUAAAAAAAGACGACGAUAGAAAGUCGGAAGAGAUGAGAAGUAAAGAGUUUCACGUGAAAACUCUAGAGAAAAAUUAGACCUAUACGCGUCGAGCCUUAAAUCAUCGAGCUCCGAAAGAAAAAAAGAAUAAGAAAUAAACUCUUAUUGGCAGUCACUCAUACGUCAUUUCAAUCGCGAGACUCUUAGAUGCGACGGCGAUAAUUACAGUAUAACACAAUCGAAAGAAUAAAAGAGUGAAAAUAAAUAUGGAAUAAAUAAAUAAAUAAAUAAAUAAAUAAAUAAAUAAAUAAUGUAAAAAAAUAUAAAAAAAAAAAAGAGAGAGAAAAUGCGAAAGGUCCAUCGGUUCUUCUUUCUGUCAAUCCCGAAGUGGACUCUCUUAUUGUAAGAAAGAAAAGAUGGCAUUAAGCUGCAGCAAUAAUAAUACAAAUAUAAGUAUUACGAAAGAAGUUCAGAAAAAUAAAAAAAGAAAAAGAGAGAGGGGGGAGAGGGAGAGAGAGAGAGAGAGAGAGAGAGAGAGAGAGAGAGAGAGAGAGAGAAAGACAGGAAAAAAGAAAAAGAAAAAAUUUAACUCAAGGUAAUCCCAUUGACGAGCUGUAUUUUAACUUUUCGUGCGUCGUACUACCGCAAAAAUGCAUAAUACGCGACAUAUAAAUCAUACGUGCAAGCAAAGUGUAUACAUACAUGCAUAUAAGUAUAGUUAGGUGACACGAUCGCGAUGAAGAUAAUAUAUUACAUUAUAUUACAUUAUAUUAUAUUAUAUUAUAUUAUAUUAUAUUAUAUUAUAUUAUAUUAUAUUAUAUUAUAUUAUAUUAAAUAACGAUCAUCUCUCGCUAAAACGCCUGCUAUUCUCACCGGCGAACUGAGUAAAUUACGUCGAAGAAAUUAAAAAGAAAAGGGGAGAGAGUGAAAGAGAAAAAGAGAAGAAAAGAGUAGCAUAUAUCUUAUAGCGGCAAAAAGAAAGAAGUACGGCGAGCGAGCGGCGUUAAUGUUAAUGUUUUGUUGAAUAUAUUAUAUGAACGUUGAAGUACAUACAUUCAGAAGAUUAUGGGUUAAUGUUUCAAAUGGUAUAAUGACAAGCGAAUUAUGACAUACAUAUAUACAUAAAAUGCAGAAACGAUAUCGUGCGCGUUACUGUAAUAAUGAUAAUAUUAACUAUAAACGAUAAUAAUAUUGAUUAUUGAAUAGUGAAUAAUUGCUCUUAUUAAGAUCACACCUUGCAUUGUACAGAAAACAUAAUAAUUGUUAGUUAUUAGGUAGCCGCAUUAUAAUCUAUUUACCCAGUUAAUCCAAAUGCGAGUAAACGAAACGGCAGAAAAAUGGAGAGAGAGAUUAGAAAGAUAUUAGAUAGAAAAAAGAGAGAGAGAGAGAGAGAGAGAGAGAGAGAGAGAGAGAGAGAUACCAGGCAAUCCCUUUGUCACACACAGAAAAAAAGAUAAAAAAAAGAGUAAGAGAAAAGAUCAGAAAAAUGCGACAGACCCGAUGCAAAACUCGUUGUCCAAACGAUACUCUCCGUUAUAUUGAAGACAUUAAUAACACAAUGCAAAGAAAGGAUUUGGAACCUCGUUCGGUUCUAUCCUUUUAUUAAUAAUUAAGUAAUUCCUCGGAAUUCAGGUCUGAAAUAAAAUGAAAUCAUGCUGACUUCCGACGAAAUACUGAAAAUAUUUCUUUAGUAUUACGACAAAAAUUUAUGAUUUUUCUUAUCGUCACGCAAGCGCGAUGCUUCGUCCGAAUUCUUAUAGAUCUUGCCAAUAAGACGAACAACGAAAAGAAUUUGAUUUUUUUUCUCUCUUACCGCUUAUGCGACACGCGCUAUCAAGGAAAUAAUAAAACGAAUAAAAAAGAAAAAAAAAACAAAAAAAGAAAAAAAGACAGAAAAAGUGGAAGGAAAAAAAAGAAAGAGGAAAAGAAAUGGUCAAUUUUUCGUACGAUCGAAAUCUCUUUUCGAAGCGUCUCAUUGGCGAUGGUCUACUUUAAACAAGCUCUUUUCAUCGAUCUCUUUCAAAUUGAGAAAAUAGAAACAUACUUUUCUCGUUGGCAAUGUACACAUGUAUACCUGUAUAUAUAUAUAUUUUUUUUUUUAUAUAUUAUAUAUAUGUAUAUAUAUAUAUAUACAUGUGUAUAUCGCCAAGGACGUCACCGACAUCCGACCGUCCUCUUUUCAAUCAUCAUCGUACGUAUAUACACAAUUACGCCGAGUUAACUCGUUAUUGCUGCUCGAACGAGUCGACGAAUGGAGGAUCCGUAUGAAUGAUUUGAAAUGCGUAAUAGAAAGAGAGAGAGAGAGAGAGAGAGAGAGAGAGAGAGAGAGAGAGGGAGAGAGAGAGAGUGAGUGAAGGAGAGAUAGAUAGAUAGAUUAGAUAGAUAAAGACAACAGAGGAAGGGAUUAGUCGAUGAAAAGUUCUAAGGGACUCAUUCAAACUUUCGACAUGUCGGCAAGUUCGAGAACAUUUUCUCAUAAGCCUUAAAGAAGAAAGAAAGAAAGAAAAAAAAAAUUAAAAGAAAAUAAAAGAAAACUCGAGAUUAUAGCUCAGCGCGCAGCGUGUAGCGGUCAUCUUCGUAUAAUAGGAAUUGAAAUGAUAUAAGAUAUGUAUGUGUAUGUGUAUAAAUAUAUACAUAUAUACAUUCAUAUACAUAUAUAUAUAUAUAUUUAUUUCUUAUCGUUACACAUUAUUAUUAUUAUUAUUAUAUAUAUAUAUAUAUAUAAAUAUAUGUAUUAUAUAAGUUCUGCGACGUAAACGUAGCAUCGAUCAUUAUUAUUAUCGAUACGCUGACGAUCGAUCGCGCAAAGCACGGGUUUGGCCUAACAAUAAGAGAAAACGAGAGCUCGUCCUUGCGAUCGAUAUCAUCCGUAUAAGCCACAAAAGAGAAGGAGAAAAAGGUCGAAAAGCCAAGAGGUCGAUCGAUAUUCAAAAUCCAAAGUCCGUAAAAGUCGUCGUUAUAUUUAGCGAAUUUAGAAUUCAAAAGGUAAACUCCGCGCGUUCUCUCAUUCAUAAAGCGCACGUAAAUCUUUCCAAUUUGAAAUAUAAGAAAAAGGGAAAAUAGGAGAACGAGUUCGUUUCGGGAAUAAAUGCAACGAAAAUAUGAUCGGAAGAAGACCGACGAUAUUGACGAUCAAAAGAUGACGAAGCGUUUUAAGCGUUUUUUAAUUCUAUCCUAAAUAGAAUCUUUCACGUUUGCAUUGAAUUUAUGAGAAAGUUUAUAUUUUCGUGGCAAUAAAAUGAAGCGUACUUUCGACGCAUUUGAAAAAUUAUAUUAGUCAUUUGACGAGUUCUUUAUUAGUCAUUUUAUUUCGUCGAUAAAAAUAUACAUACAUAUAUAUUGGAAAUGUCGAUCUUUAAAACGCCGUUCGUCUGUUCGUCGUUCGUCACGUACGGCGACGAGAAAUUUAAAAGAAAAAGAGAGAAGUGACGCGGGAUUAAUUGAUCUAGAAGUGAGAUCUUCAUGUACUUACAUCAGCCAUUUCCGGAUUUAUAAAUAAAAUAAAUAGAGGUGAAUAAAAGAAUAAAUAGAUAAAUAAUUAAAUAAAUAGUCGCGCGUGUGGAAGAUGAGAGAGAGAGAGAGAGAGAGAAAAUGAAAGAAAAGUUAGAUUAGUAUGGAAAAGAGUUCAAUGUAUGUAAAUGAAUGUUCGUGAAUUGCGUGCGAAUGUCGAAUGAAUGACAGUAAAAUAGAGAUCGAAAGGGUGUGCUUUGUAUAAGUAUGUAUGAGAAAGAAAGAGAGAGAAAGAGAGAGAGAGAGAGAGAGAGAGAAAAAGAGAGAGAGAGAGAGAGAGAGAGAGAGAGAGAGAGAGAGUCUAAGCAAGAUCGUGUCACGUUGGUGCAAUUAUUAUAUUGAGAGGCUAUUUCAAUAACCUUAUAAGUGUCAAUUCCACUUUCAAACGUAAAUCGUAAUUAAUGCGAAAAUAUUAACACACGUAGAGAAAAAAAAGGAAAAAAAAAAAAAGAGAGAGAGAACAAAUGAAGCGACAAACGACGAUAAGAAGAAAACAAAAUAAAAAAAAAAAAAAAAGAAAAAAAACGAAAAAAAAAAGAAAGUCGUAGACGACAAAGCGAGAGUCGCACGCCGGCGAUUCCUCGAUCGUUCAGCGAUAAAAGUGAGAUUAUAUUGAUAAAUUUAAAUUAUUGAAGUAAAACAAAAAAAAAAGGAAAGAAAGAUAUAGAGCGAUAGAGAGGGAGAGAGAGAGAGAGAACGAACGAGCGAGAGAGAAAGAGCGAGCGAAGUAUAUAUAAAGUAAAAGACAAAAAAAAAAAUAAAAAAAAAUAAAAAAAACAACAACACAUAGCACGUGCAAGAGUAACAGAGAUAUCAAUACUUUUUAUUGUAGGUAUUUCAUAGGUGAGAUUCAUAAAAAAAAAAUUAAAAAAAAAAAUUAAUAAAGGUAUUGUAUUAAUGAUCACUUAUAUUAAAUGAAUCAACGGUGUUUUUCUGCCUAUACGUAUUUACGUCUCGUACUUUUAUGUCAGACGAGCACUAUAGACUUCUCUCGUGUAAGAACAAAAAUGAUACGAAUAUAUUUCGUUUUCGUUUUCUCUAUUAUAAUGUUAUUAUUAACACUGUACAAAGUUGGCAAUAAUGUUAAGAAUACCCUCUUCUAUAUAAUCGUUACUUGCCGUAACAAACGAGAAACUCUUCGCGGCUUUGGGGCGUUCGAACGAUCACGAAGGGUGGUUUCAAUUAGCAGGUAACGAUUAUUACUGCUGUAGAGCUAAUAUGUGAUCAAGUGAAUGUGCCCUUUCAUCGUGUAAUCAAGCACAAAGGAAAGUUUCCUCUAUGAGUAUAACGGUAGGCCUCUAGUCCGUUUAUCUCCGAUUCUAUAGAGAUACGGAUCGCGCGAUAACGAUCAGUCGACCAACGAAAUACGAAUCCAACAUACCCCCUUUGGAUCGAAAUCUUUUCUCAUAUACCAUUUAUCUGAGAUGAAUGAAUAAUAAAGAUCCUUAUUCAAACGUAAAUAUAAUCUUGUGCGAAACGAUAUUUUGAUUUGCUUUCCAAAGGAUUUCGUUGGAUUCGUCUUCUCGUAUAAUCUCAUCCGAAGAAUACCGACGAUGUAAGAAUAAUUUUCAGGCCACUCAUCUACGAAAGAGAAAAAAAAAAAAAAAGAAAAAAUAAGCCAAGCGUUUACUGUACAAUUAUAUUCUUUUACGUUAACGACUUACCAUUGAGUAGUCGGGUAGUAUAUUUUACAUUACUGAUAUAUAGUAGCGUUACUUAUCUUACCCUAAUUUUAUAUAUAAUUAAAGAUAAGUAUCCGCAAAAAUUAUAGUCAGCACUGCAGUGAAGUUACUAUACAAUUAUAGAUAACGGCCCGUAAAAAAAAAAAUUUCAAAAACCGACACGAUGUUCAAUGUAUUUAAUGAUCUUCUCAAACGGUGAAGAAUAUAUGAUAUAUCGGGAA